rnacentral:rRNA from 1 species
UACGGAGGGUGCAAGCGUUAAUCGGAAUUACUGGGCGUAAAGCGUGCGUAGGUGGUUCGUUUAAGUCCGUUGUGAAAGCCCCGAGCUCAACUUGGGAAUUGCAGUGGAUACUGGCGAGCUGGAGUGCGGUAGAGGAAGGUGGAAUUCCCGGUGUAGCGGUGAAAUGCGUAGAGACCCGGAGGAACACCAGUGGCGAAGGCGGCUUCCUGUCUGCGACUGACGCUGUGGCGCGGAAAGCUAGGGGGAGCAAACGGG